rnacentral:rRNA from 1 species
UACGGAGGGUGCAAACGUUGCUCGGAAUCAUUGGGCGUAAAGCGAACGUAGGCGGCUAUGUAAGUCGGGUGUGAAAGCCCUCGGCUCAACCGAGGAAGUGCAUUCGAAACUGCAUGGCUUGAGUAUCGGAGAGGAUAGCGGAAUUCCCGGUGUAGAGGUGAAAUUCGUAGAUAUCGGGAGGAACACCGGUGGCGAAGGCGGCGAUCUGGGUCGAUACUGACGCUGAGGUGCGAAAGCGUGGGGAGCAAACAGG